rnacentral:rRNA from 1 species
GAUGAACGCUGGCGGCGUGCCUAAUACAUGCAAGUCGAGCGAACAGACGAGGAGCUUGCUCCUCUGACGUUAGCGGCGGAAGGGUGAGUAACACGUGGAUAACCUACCUAUAAGACUGGGAGAACUUCGGGAAACCGGAGCUAAUACCGGAUAAUAUAUUGAACCGCAUGGUUCAAUAGUGAAAGACGGUUUUGCUGGCAUUUAUAGAUGGAACCGCGCCGCAUUAGGUAGUUGGUAAGGUAACGGCUUACCAAGGCGACGAUGCGUAGCCGACCUGAGAGGGUGAUCGGCCACACUGGAACUGAGACACGGUCCAUACUCCUACGGGAGGCAGCAGUAGGGAAUCUUCCGCAAUGGGCGAAAGCCUGACGGAGCAACGCCGCGUGAGUGAUGAAGGUCUUCGGAUCGUAAAACUCUGUUAUUAGGGAAGAACAAAUGUGUAAGUAACUAUGCACGUCUUGACGGUACCUAAUCAGAAAGCCACGGCUAACUACGUG